rnacentral:rRNA from 1 species
UACGGAGGGUGCAAGCAUUAAUCGGAUUUAUUGGGCGUAAAGGGCGCGUAGGCUGGAAGAUAAGUCAGUUGUGAAAUCCCGGGGCUCAACCUUGGAACAGCAAUUGAAACUAUCAUCCUAGAGGCUAGAUGGAGAAAACGGAAUUCCACAAGUAGCGGUGAAAUGCGUAGAUAUGUGGAAGAACACCGGUGGCGAAGGCGGUUUUCUAAUUUAGACCUGACGCUGAGGCGCGAAAAGCAAGGGGAUCAAACAGG